rnacentral:rRNA from 1 species
AGUGAACGCUGGCGGUAGGCCUAACACAUGCAAGUCGAACGGCAGCACAGUAAGAGCUUGCUCUUACGGGUGGCGAGUGGCGGACGGGUGAGGAAUACAUCGGAAUCUACUUUUUCGUGGGGGAUAACGUAGGGAAACUUACGCUAAUACCGCAUACGACCUACGGGUGAAAGCAGGGGAUCUUCUGACCUUGCGCGAUUGAAUGAGCCGAUGUCGGAUUAGCUAGUUGGCGGGGUAAAGGCCCACCAAGGCGACGAUCCGUAGCUGGUCUGAGAGUAUGAUCAGCCACACUGGAACUGAGACACGGUCCAGACUCCUACGGGAGGCAGCAGUGGGGAAUAUUGGACAAUGGGCGCAAGCCUGAUCCAGCCAUACCGCGUGGGUGAAGAAGGCCUUCGGGUUGUAAAGCCCUUUUGUUGGGAAAGAAAAGCAGCAGGUUAAUACCCCGCUGUUCUGACGGUACCCAAAGAAUAAGCACCGGCUAACUUCGUG